GACGAACGCUGGCGGCGUGCUUAACACAUGCAAGUCGAACGGAAAGGCCCUGCUUUUGUGGGGUGCUCGAGUGGCGAACGGGUGAGUAACACGUGAGUAACCUGCCCUUGACUUUGGGAUAACUUCAGGAAACUGGGGCUAAUACCGGAUAGGAGCUCCUGCUGCAUGGUGGGGGUUGGAAAGUUUCGGCGGUUGGGGAUGGACUCGCGGCUUAUCAGCUUGUUGGUGGGGUAGUGGCUUACCAAGGCUUUGACGGGUAGCCGGCCCGAGAGGGUGACCGGCCACAUUGGUACUGAGAUACGGCCCAGACUCCUACGGGAGGCAGCAGUGGGAAACAUUGCACAAUGGGCGGAAGCCUGCUGCAGCAACGCCGCGUGCGGAAUGACGGCCUUCGGGUUGUAAACCGCUUUCGCCUGUGACGACGCGUGAGUGACGGCACUGGGUAAAGAAGCACCGGCUAACUACGUG
rnacentral:rRNA from 1 species